AUGGGCUGCGGCCGCGGGAGCCGAGCGAGCGCCGCAGCCCCGCCGUCCGUGCGUCCGUCCGUCCGUCCGUGCUGCAGCGCCCGCGGGGGCUGGGCCGGGCUCGGCGGCCCGGAGGAGGAGCGCGGGAGGCGGGAGGGCGGCGCGGGCUGCGCGGCCGGGCUCGGGAUCCGGGCUCCUGGGGUGCGCGCGCCGCCGGGGCCGGUCUGCGCCUGCCUGCUGCCUGUGCACCUGCCUGCCACGGUCACGGGGCGCCCGCGGAGGCCUGCGGACCCGGCUGGCCUCCCGACUGCCCUUCCGUCCCGGGUCCCGCUCAUCCGUGUGACCCCGGAGGCCUCGCGGGGGUCUCCGGGAGUGGGGCGCGUGGAGCCCGGGAGCCCUGGGUCUGCAGCCCCUGCCCGCGCCCCCUGCAGCCUGCUACGGUUCCCACCAGGCCGUGCUAAAGCCGCGAGAAACCUCGAGAAACCUGCAAACACACACGUUCACACCCAUGCACACCUCCUUCCGCAGAAACCGAGUCACUGCCACAAAGAUAUUCAAAGGUCAACUCUCACCAUUUAAACUCAGUUACAACACUGGGUAAAACAAACCCACACCCAAGUGUUGACAUCAGCAGCUUGCGUUUACCCCAGAAUGGCCCAUACCACCCCAGCGAGCUGACCUUCCCCCUAUGGUGCAUUUGACAGUCUGUCUGUCUGUCUGUCUGUCUGUCUCUCUCUGCUGAGAACAGAACACAGGACCAUCACUGCCCAUCUCUGCCACCUCACUUUCCAUAGGAUGUCAGCAGUGACUCCUCAGCUGGACCCCCGUGCCUGUGGUCAGUUCUUCAGCAUCUCUCCCUUCCCUUCCCAGGCACUCGUGACCACUAUUCUAUCCUCCACACACACCAGAUGCCCUGAAGUAAACAGGCCUCCUCCUCCUCACCCCUGUAUCCCCUCCGUGAUGAUGGAGGCCCAGAGCAUCAAGACCAAGCAGUCAUGGUCUGAAACCACAAGCCAGAUAAAGUCUUUGUCCUUGUAUGCAUCUUUAUCUCAGGUAUUUUUCACAGUGACACAAGGUCGAAUGUUUCCUGCCUUAUAUUUUCCUUACGCACCUAUGAUGAAGACCUAACAAGGUAUCCGUCAGAUCCCCAUCCUCUUUCAAACUAACCAAAUUGCAUUUUGACUGACAUAUUCUUGGGAAUCUGUAGCAUGCAUUUCAAGAUUUUUCAAAUUUUACCUUGCAUAUACAUUUUCAUCUCUAUUUCUAGGUCUCUAAGCAUAUUUCAGUAAGCAGGUAUUGUCCGUGCAGAAAAAGAAAUGGAAUAUGCUGAUGUAAUAAAUGGCACACAAAGUCACGGGCUUUGAGUUCUUCACUUUCCAACUAGACAUGUAUUUUUUUAAAGGGGCUAAGAGAUGUUAAAAUAGUCUCACAGUUUUGGGGGAAAGUUAUUCUGAUUUUAAACAUAAGGACACAUUUUCUAGGCCACUUUCCUUUGUGCAUGUGUUUGAUCUGUCUACAAAGGGAGCUGUGCCAUCCUCCCCAGAUGCUGAAUGAGGCCAGGACAGGGAAAAUACGCCUGCAAGACUCUGCAGAGGAAAGGGGAUGGUUUUACAGUGGUCACUGUAAAGAUUUGAUUUUAGGUCGCCUCCUAUUGGCAGAAUCACCAAAUGAACACAUUGGCGACUGCUCUGGGACCUGACAGGUCCACUAGAAAGAACUCACUGAAAACCAAAAUCUGUCUCCACCACCUGGACACACAACUACCACCGGCAGUCAUGAUCCUUUCUUUCGGAAAAUGCAGUGUUUGGCCUUUUCAGUGACCGAUGCGUCUGGCCUUCCUGGAAAACCACCCAGCACAGACCACUGGGCGGUCGUCUGUCACCUGACGCUGAGGUGGAGAUGACACAGUGACCAGACGGCUGCUGGGCAGAGGGCGUCACAGAGACUCGCAGGGAGCACUCAACACACGUCCUGCGGGCUGUGUGCGUGAAACCCUCGCCGGACAGCUGGACAGUUUUGAUUCUGCCUUUUCAUAGUUCUGUGGCCCCUAUGGAGAUCAUUUCUACCACAGCUUAUGCAUUUUCAAGGAUCUUUCCCGUUCUUUCCCCUACACCAUAGAAAGAACAUUUUUGCCCGACACUCGGAGGCAUUCCUAAAACACAGCUAGCCAAUUUACCUUUAGGGAAAAGUAGAUUAGCAGAACAAAGACUUUCCACCUUAACACACUCAAGGACUUUCUCUAAAUCAGUGCAGUAUGGUCAACCUACAAGCCCAGCAAUGGAGCAUUAUUGUGAGAGGCUCAGUCUCCUUCAAGGUGCUGCUCUGAGCUUGGAAACUGAGUCUAAAGGUUUAAUCCUCCUCCCCAUUCGAACAAGGAUGUCAAUUAUCCUACCCUGGAGGGAAUCUAAAGGUUUAAAAACAAGGAUAUAAGAGAGAUUAUUGAAAAAGCAAUUUAUGUGAACCAAAGUGAAUAAAAGUGGUAGUUAAGGACCGCAAGAAGCAGAGGAUUUGGUCCUGAGGUGGCUGGGUAGGAAGCAAGCAGCUUCUAAAUAUCAUACAGCAAGACAGCAACACCCAAAGAACAGGCUCCCGGACCAGGAGAGCAUGCACAGGAAUUUAAAACACUGUUGCCCUGUGAGUAGGAACAGCAAAAGGCACAAUUACUACAAAAUAUAAGUUAUAAAUAGUUAGUGAGCCACUGUGCUUGUCACCAGCCCUGCUUACUGGGAAAACAAAGGAAUGCACUGUACUGGAGAAGACUUUCACUGUUCCCAGAUCAGACAUCAUUGUGCACAACUAACGAAGCCUAUCGCGGCUUCUUAGAGGCAAACCCACCCAGCGCGUAUUCUAGCUGUAACCCAGAUCCUGUUCUGGGCUGCCUUGUUUCACAGGUAACAUUCCUACAAAUGUUCAGUCUGCUUUGACUAAGAUCUUCAUGCUACCUCAAAUUCUCCUCCACUUCCCAAUCAAUUCCUUUUGCUCUUACCAACAUCCCAAUGGGAUCAGCCUCAAGACGGUGGAAUUGCUUUGUGUUAAGGAACAGGGUGAGAAGGAGAAAUUAACAAUGGGCACUUGGCCUUCUGCUGGGAACUACCAGGUGCUGAGUGCGCAUAAAAGGUGUCCAAAGCAUGUGGGAUGGGGUAGACAGGGAGAGGCUUAGGGAGAAAAGUAAUAAACAUGAAAGAGCAGGCGCUUAAAAUGGGAAUAGUGAGCAGCACAUAAGCUUGCAACAGGCAGCAUCACCUCUUGAAACACAGCACAAGUGGAAGAGACGAACCUGGACCGCUUCACAAACUGGGACCCUCCGGGGGAAAGUGUGCUUCAAAUGAAAUGGUGAUAUCGGCCCAAAAGGUGGAACUCAUGAGUAAAUCUGAAAAAGGUAUCCAGAAGUACGACAUACAGACCAAGGAGAUGGAAACAAUUAGUCACGGCAGGGAUAAAGUCCUGAUGGCUGAGACAAGGGUGGCCACCUACAGCUGGAUCUCGGAACACGUCCUCUGGCACACCGAGUUCCAGGACGACGAGUGAAACACAGUAUGCUACCAGCAUGGCUGGAAGACCGGUUACAAACUUCAAGUCACCUUGUAGUGGAAAAGGCCACCCUCCCAGCCUCCCCCCAGCCAGUCCACUUCAGUUGCCCAGGUGACAGUUCCUGUUCCAGGGCCGGUUGUUUCUGUUGCUUAGAAACAGCUGGUCACUGUGACGCAUAGCUGGUCACUAUGGUGCAUACUGUAAGAGCCAAUCAAAGACAGCCAAGUGCUCUUCCUCAGUACCCUCAUCCCUUUGCAAACCCAUAAAAAUCUCCCUUCCUGGGCCUUCAAGGCCUGACAUUCUGAGAAACAACUGAUUCCUAGUCAGUGCCUAUCCGAUGUUAAAUAAAUCUGCCUCCAAA